rnacentral:rRNA from 1 species
UAGGGAAUCUUCCACAAUGGACGCAAGUCUGAUGGAGCAACGCCGCGUGAGUGAAGAAGGCUUUCGGGUCGUAAAACUCUGUUGUUGGAGAAGAAUGGUCGGCGGAGUAACUGUUGUCGGCGUGACGGUAUCCAACCAGAAAGCCACGGCUAACUACGUGCCAGCAGCCGCGGUAAUACGUAGGUGGCAAGCGUUAUCCGGAUUUAUUGGGCGUAAAGCGAGCGCAGGCGGUUUUUUAAGUCUGAUGUGAAAGCCCUCGGCUUAACCGAGGAAGUGCAUCGGAAACUGGGAAACUUGAGUGCAGAAGAGGACAGUGGAACUCCAUGUGUAGCGGUGAAAUGCGUAGAUAUAUGGAAGAACACCAGUGGCGAAGGCGGCUGUCUGGUCUGUAACUGACGCUGAGGCUCGAAAGCAUGGGUAGCGAACAGGAUUAGAUACCCUGGUAGUCCAUGCCGUAAACGAUGAAUGCUAGGUGUUGGAGGGUUUCCGCCCUUCAGUGCCGCAGCUAACGCAUUAAGCAUUCCGCCUGGGGAGUACGACCGCAAGGUUG